rnacentral:rRNA from 1 species
GAUGAACGCUGGCGGCGUGCCUGAUACAUGCAAGUCGAGCGAACAGACGAGGAGCUUGCUCCUCUGACGUUAGCGGCGGACGGGUGAGUAACACGUGGAUAACCUACCUAUAAGACUGGGAUAACUUCGGGAAACCGGAGCUAAUACCGGAUAAUAUAUUGAACCGCAUGGUUCAAUAGAGAAAGACGGUUUUGCUGUCACUUAUAGAUGGAUCCGCGCCGCAUUAGCUAGUUGGUAAGGUAACGGCUUACCAAGGCAACGAUGCGUAGCCGACCUGAGAGGGUGAUCGGCCACACUGGAACUGAGACACGGUCCAGACUCCUACGGGAGGCAGCAGUAGGGAAUCUUCCGCAAUGGGCGAAAGCCUGACGGAGCAACGCCGCGUGAGUGAUGAAGGUCUUCGGAUCGUAAAACUCUGUUAUUAGGGAAGAACAAAUGUGUAAGUAACUAUGCACGUCUUGACGGUACCUAAUCAGAAAGCCACGGCUAACUACGUG